UACGUAGGUGGCGAGCGUUGUCCGGAUUUACUGGGCGUAAAGCGCGCGCAGGCGGUCUUCCAAGUCAGUGGUGAAAGCCUGGAGCUCAACUCCAGAACUGCCAUUGAAACUGUUGGACUUGAGUACGAGAGAGGUGAGUGGAAUUCCCAGUGUAGAGGUGAAAUUCGUAGAUAUUGGGAAGAACACCGGUGGCGAAGGCGGCUCACUGGCUCGUAACUGACGCUCAGGCGCGACAGCGUGGGGAUCAAACAGG
rnacentral:rRNA from 1 species